CUUGGCUUUGUCCUGAACCAAGGAGGCAUUCUGGCAGGCGGGCGCGUGCGUGUGCCGACUGUAGAGACUACAAGCCAAGGCCAGAAGUGAUUCGCUUCUAUUCUCGUCUGGUUGGGAUGGGAUUGGAUAUAGAUGGGGAAUCUCUAUAGAUCGUAGUAGUCUGCCAACCUCUCUAACUAGCAUAUGAUAUAAUUGAACUUCACGGCCACAAAACAAAAAAGAAAGAGCUUCGCUCGGUUGGCCCACCUACGCUGACACCUACUUUCUUUCUCUUCUCUUAAGUCCACAACAAGUGGGAGAGGCAAGAUUCGAACCUAGGUAGAAAACCUUCAACAGAUUUACAGUUUGUCACUUUUGACCACUCGGCUACUCUCCACUUCUCGGGCCGACACCCCUCUCAAAGUUUCCUGAAUAAGAAGGAUGGCGCCGUUCAGUUUUCUUCCCAGGACUCAACCAAACCAACCAUUAAAGUAAGUUCAGCUAACGAAACUAGAACAAGAAAUUUCAGACAUUGAUGAAGGGGCUUGCUUAAGGCCAUAGGCCUGUGCGUGAGGAAAUGCUUGGAAUUUCUCAGGCGGGAUAAGAUGACGGAAUGACUCAGAAUAGUUACCGAUGACCGAUUUCGUCAUUGAUGUGAAGCCUGGUUUGGAAAGUCCGCGAAUACAAAAAUGCACGAAAAGGGAUGGAACCUAUCUCCUCUUCUAGCGAACAUAUACCUAAACAAAUGGAUUACGAACCAAAUUGGGACUAAUCGCCGAUAUGCACGGUACACAGAUGACCUAACAUUUGGAUGCCCGAUAGGCGGCCUGUCUUUAUCUCAGUAGGGGUUGGAUUUCAUUUAGGUUCAGACCACGAAAGAGAAGACGGAGAUCUGGGCUUGGGAGUGGGCUGGCGGGAUCCGUGCUUUAAGAAAAAAGGAAAGGGUAAGUUAACCUUCCUGAAUAAGAGGUGUAUAGAUAAAAAAUAGGCCCGAUGCACCGCUAGGUGAAAGAGAACAGCGGAGCUGUAGUGGUCGGCCUUUGUUAAGUAGUAGCUUCCGCGCUGCCUUCCUUUAUGACCGACUGGGGCUGUUCAUCUUUCCUUCGAAGCUGCUAAACCCAUCUUACAAUCUUUCUUUCUCGAAUUCUUGAUCUUUGGUGCCUGUGGAGCAAAGGAAGAAGUAGGGGACGAACUCUUCUAUCUACCCUAGAAAUUGGUUGGAUCUAUUGAAUGAGAUCCUGGAGAUAGGGCUGGGAGGUAUGAGUCGAUCGGAUGUAGGGAAGCCCAGGCAAUCCCUUCCUAUCAAUCAUUCGUCAGGAAGCGGUGGAGAAAGAAUUUGAUUUCCAAAUCUCAUUGUUGAAGGUCGUUCGAGCAACUUCAGCGCCGCGCGACAUUGGCUCGAGGGCGGAAGGCCUUUACUUGAAACAAGCGAAAGGCUGGAAUAGAGCGGGAGUAAUAUCAUCUUUUGUUUUUGAAUCAUCCGGCUUUCCUAGCGCUUCUGAGUUAGAAUUUGACUUGUCUCGACUUCCCUUUGACUAGAUUGACUAGGGGACUUGAAUCUGCUUCCUCUUUCGGGUUGAUAGGCCAGGACACAGGCUGAGCUUCCCUCAUUAUGAUUCUAGGUAGGCAAGUUCUUAUAUGUCAGAUGCUUUAGGAACCUCAACCCAUGAAUACUCACAAGGAGUUUGAUCACGGCUUCUAUUCCCCUCUGGCUUAGGCUGAAACACACCUUGAGCCAGAACCAAGGUGCCCAGUUGAGUUCGUAGGUGUGCUAUGCCUAACGGUAACAUCACUGAGCUGCACCCAGAAAUACCAACUAAUAAACCCCUGAAACAGUUACCAGUUCCAGAUAGGACAGGUGAUAGGAUUGGAGGCCUAUACCAAAUAGAGUCGAAUUUCUUCAGCAUUACAUCAGAAUCACCCUACUUCACUCUCCAGUGUCUUACCAACUAUGGAGCACCGAUAAUAUCUAUCCAAACAUUGUCUUUCAUUAGUACUGUAUAGUACCAUGAGAUAGCCUAAGUUUGGCGAGGUCUCAAUGUCGGGUAAGUUCCGACACGCACAAAAGGCAUAAUGAUCAGGGCACUGUCUCGGAGAGAGGCUCGGUGAAAUAGACAUGUUUCUGAAGAUGCGGACUACCUGCACCUAGAUAGAAAGACCCUAUGAAGCUUUAUUGUUCCCUGGGAUUGGCUUUGGUCCAUUCCUGAGCUGCUUAGGUGGAGGGCAAAGAAGGCCUCCUUCCGGGGAGCCCAAGCCAUCAGUGAGAUACCACUUUGGAAGAGCUAGAAUUCUAACCUUGUGUCAGGACCUACGGGCCAAGGGACAGUCUCAGGUNUGGAAGAGCUAGAAUUCUAACCUUGUGUCAGGACCUACGGGCCAAGGGACAGUCUCAGGUUGAGAGUUUCUAUGGGGUGUAGGCYUCCCAAAGGGUAAUGGAGGCGUGCAAUACCCACCCGUCKAGCAGGGAUGAAAGUCRGCCUUAGUGAUCCGACRUUGCUGAGUGGAAGGGYCGUCRCUCAACGGAUAAAAGUUACUCUAGGGAUAACAGGCUGAUCUUCCMMAAGAGUUCACAUCGACGGGAAKGUUUGGCACCUCGAUGUGGGCUCUUCACUAUGUGGGGAUGUAGUAUGUUCCAAKGGUUGGGCUUUUCACCCAUUAAAGUGGUACAUUACGUGAGCUGGGUUCAGAACUUCAUGAGASAGUUCGGUCMAUAUUCGGUGCGGSCAUUAGAGCAUUGAGAUGAUGUUUCCCUAGUACGAGAGGACCGGGAAGGACGCACCUUUAGUGUACCAGUUAUCGUGCCCAUGGUAAACCCAGCCAAGUGCGGAGCGGAUAACUGCUGAAAACAUCUAAGUAGUAAGCYCACYCAAAGAUGAGUGCUCUCCUAUUCUGACUUCCCCAGAGCCUCYGGUAGCACAGCCGAGACAGUGACYAGUUCUCUGCCCCWGCGGGGAUGGAGCGACAGAAGUAUUAGGAAUCUAAGAUAAGGUCACGACGAGAUGAGCCAUUUAUCAUUAUGAUAGGUGUCAAGUGGAAGUGCAGUGAUGUAUGCAGCUGAGGCAUCCUAACAGACCGAGAGAUUUGAAC
rnacentral:rRNA from 1 species